GAAGAAGAACGCAGCGAAAUGCGAUACGUAAUGUGAAUUGCAGAAUUCAGUGAAUCAUCGAAUCUUUGAACGCAUAUUGCGCUCUCUGGUAUUCCGGAGAGCAUGCUUGUUUGAGUAUCAGUAAACACCUCAACUUCCAUAUCUUUUUUGAAAUGGGAGUUGGACUUGAGUGAUCCCAACGCUUUUCCUCACCGAAAAGUGGCGGGUUACUUGAAAUGCAGGUGCAGCUGGACUUUUCUCUGAGCUAUAAGCAUAUCUAUUUAGUCUGCCUAAAAAACAGAUUAUUACCUUUGCUGCAGCUAACAUAAAGGAGAUUAGUUCUUGUGCUGACUGAUGCAGGAUUCACAAAGACGGCUUCGGCCGACUUUGUAAACUCGAUCUCAAAUCAAGUAAGACUACCCGCUGAACUUAAGCAUAUCAAUAAGCGGAGGA
rnacentral:misc_RNA from 1 species